UACAGAGGUCUCAAGCGUUGUUCGGAUUCAUUGGGCGUAAAGGGUGCGUAGGCGGCGCGGUAAGUCGGGUGUGAAAUCUCGGAGCUUAACUCCGAAACUGCAUUCGAUACUGCCGUGCUUGAGGACUGGAGAGGGGACUGGAAUUUACGGUGUAGCGGUGAAAUGCGUAGAUAUCGUAAGGAAGACCAGUGGCGAAGGCGGGUCUCUGGGACGGUACUGACGCUGAGACGCGAAAGCGUGGGGAGCGAACAGG
rnacentral:rRNA from 1 species